rnacentral:tRNA from 1 species
GAGAGUGAAGCUCAGUAGUAGAGCACUUGCCUAGCAUGUAUGAGGUCCUGGGUUCAAGCCCCAGUACCA